rnacentral:rRNA from 1 species
GUAAGCUUGCUUACUUUGCUGACGAGCGGCGGACGGGUGAGUAAUGCCUAGGGAUCUGCCCAGUCGAGGGGGAUAACAGUUGGAAACGACUGCUAAUACCGCAUACGCCCUACGGGGGAAAGGAGGGGACCUUCGGGCCUUUCGCGAUUGGAUGAACCUAGGUGGGAUUAGCUAGUUGGUGAGGUAAUGGCUCACCAAGGCGACGAUCCCUAGCUGUUCUGAGAGGAUGAUCAGCCACACUGGGACUGAGACACGGCCCAGACUCCUACGGGAGGCAGCAGUGGGGAAUAUUGCACAAUGGGGGAAACCCUGAUGCAGCCAUGCCGCGUGUGUGAAGAAGGCCUUCGGGUUGUAAAGCACUUUCAGUAAGGAGGAAAGGUUAACGAUUAAUACUCGUUAGCUGUGACGUUACUUACAGAAGAAGGACCGGCUAACUCCGUGCCAGCAGCCGCGGUAAUACGGAGGGUCCGAGCGUUAAUCGGAAUUACUGGGCGUAAAGCGUGCGCAGGCGGUUUGUUAAGCCAGAUGUGAAAUCCCCGGGCUCAACCUGGGAAUUGCAUUUGGAACUGGCGAACUAGAGUCUUGUAGAGGGGGGUAGAAUUCCAGGUGUAGCGGUGAAAUGCGUAGAGAUCUGGAGGAAUACCGGUGGCGAAGGCGGCCCCCUGGACAAAGACUGACGCUCAUGCACGAAAGCGUGGGGGAGCAAACAGGAUUAGAUACCCUGGUAGUCCACGCCGUAAACGAUGUCUACUCCGGAGUUUGGUGCCUUGAGCACUGGGCUCUCAAGCUAACGCAUU